rnacentral:snRNA from 1 species
CCAAUGAGGCUCUGCCGAGGUGCGUUUAUUGCUGGUUGAAAACUUUUCCCAAUUGCCCGCGAUGGCCCCUGAAACACGGGUGUCAUACGCAAUUUUUGAACGCCCCAGCGGGG